UACGAAGGGGGCUAGCGUUGCUCGGAAUCACUGGGCGUAAAGGGUGCGUAGGCGGGUCUUUAAGUCAGGGGUGAAAUCCUGGAGCUCAACUCCAGAACUGCCUUUGAUACUGAAGAUCUUGAGUUCGGGAGAGGUGAGUGGAACUGCGAGUGUAGAGGUGAAAUUCGUAGAUAUUCGCAAGAACACCAGUGGCGAAGGCGACUCACUGGCCCGAUACUGACGCUGAGGCACGAAAGCGUGGGGAAGCAAACAGGG
rnacentral:rRNA from 1 species